ensembl:snRNA
CGGUUGUAUGAAAGGAGAGGGGGUUAGCAAUCUUCUGGACAAUGCAGAGAGGCCUGACAACACGCAUCCGCUUCAGGCAUUGACACCCACUUCCAUUUGCUAAAGUGUUAUUAUAAUUUGGGGGCCUAUGUUUAU